GAUGAACGCUGACAGAAUGCUUAACACAUGCAAGUCUACUUGAUUCUACUUCGGUAGCUGAUGGUGGCGGACGGGUGAGUAACGCGUAAAGAAUCUGCCCUUUAGUUUGGGAUAACCUUUGGAAACGAAGGCUAAUACCGGAUAUUAUGGAGACGUCGCAUGGCGACUCCAUGAAAGCUAUAUGCGCUAGAGGAGGACUUUGCGUCCCAUUAGUUAGUUGGUGAGGUAAUGGCUCACCAAGACCGCGAUGGGUAGCCGGCCUGAGAGGGUGAUCGGCCACAAGGGAACUGAGACACGGUCCGUACUCCUACGGGAGGCAGCAGUGGGGAAUAUUGGACAAUGGGCCACAAGCCUGAUCCAGCAAUUCUGUGUGCACGAUGAAGGUCUUCGGAUUGUAAAGUGCUUUCAGUAGGGAAGAAAAAAAUGACGGUACCUACAGAAGAAGCGACGGCUAAAUAUGUGCCAGCCGCCGCGGUAAUAC
rnacentral:rRNA from 1 species